rnacentral:rRNA from 1 species
AUUGAACGCUGGCGGCAGGCCUAACACAUGCAAGUCGAGCGGAUGAAGGGAGCUUGCUCCUGGAUUCAGCGGCGGACGGGUGAGUAAUGCCUAGGAAUCUGCCUGGUAGUGGGGGAUAACGUCCGGAAACGGGCGCUAAUACCGCAUACGUCCUGAGGGAGAAAGUGGGGGAUCUUCGGACCUCACGCUAUCAGAUGAGCCUAGGUCGGAUUAGCUAGUUGGUGGGGUAAAGGCCUACCAAGGCGACGAUCCGUAACUGGUCUGAGAGGAUGAUCAGUCACACUGGAACUGAGACACGGUCCAGACGCCUACGGGAGGCAGCAGUGUGGAAUAUUGGACAAUGGGCGAAAGCCUGAUCCAGCCAUGCCGCGUGUGUGAAGAAGGUCUUCGGAUUGUAAAGCACUUUAAGUUGGGAGGAAGGGCAGUAAGUUAAUACCUUGCUGUUUUGACGUUACCAACAGAAUAAGCACCGGCUAACUUCGUG